rnacentral:rRNA from 1 species
GUCCUAGCCGUAAACGUUGGGUGCUAGGUGUGGGCGGAAAUCGACCCCGUCCGUGCCGAAGCUAACGCAUUAAGCACCCCGCCUGGGGAGUACGGCCGCAAGGCUAAAACUCAAAGGAAUUGACGGGGGCCCGCACAAGCGGCGGAGCAUGCGGCUUAAUUCGAUGCAACGCGAAGAACCUUACCUGGGUUUGACAUGCAGGGUGAAACCGUUGAAAGACGGCGCUCUUCGGAGCCUGCACAGGUGGUGCAUGGCUGUCGU